rnacentral:rRNA from 1 species
AGAGUUUGAUCCUGGCUCAGGACGAACGCUGGCGGCACGCUUAACACAUGCAAGUCGAACGAGAGAAGAGAAGCUUGCUUUUCUGAUCUAGUGGCGGACGGGUGAGUAACACGUGAGCAAUCUGCCUUUCAGAGGGGGAUACCGAUUGGAAACGAUCGUUAAUACCGCAUAAUAUAAUUGAACCGCAUGAUUUGAUUAUCAAAGAUUUAUCGCUGAAAGAUGAGCUCGCGUCUGAUUAGCUAGUUGGUAAGGUAACGGCUUACCAAGGCGACGAUCAGUAGCCGGACUGAGAGGUUGAUCGGCCACAUUGGGACUGAGACACGGCCCAGACUCCUACGGGAGGCAGCAGUGGGGAAUAUUGCACAAUGGAGGAAACUCUGAUGCAGCGACGCCGCGUGGAGGAAGAAGGUCUUCGGAUUGUAAACUCCUGCUGUUGAGGAAGAUAAUGACGGUACUCAACAAGGAAGUGACGGCUAACUACGUGCCAGCAGCCGCGGUAAAACGUAGGUCACAAGCGUUGUCCGGAAUUACUGGGUGUAAAGGGAGCGCAGGCGGGAAGACAAGUUGGAAGUGAAAUCUAUGGGCUCAACCCAUAAACUGCUUUCAAAACUGUUUUUCUUGAGUAGUGCAGAGGUAGGCGGAAUUCCCGGUGUAGCGGUGGAAUGCGUAGAUAUCGGGAGGAACACCAGUGGCGAAGGCGGCCUACUGGGCACCAACUGACGCUGAGGCUCGAAAGUGUGGGUAGCAAACAGGAUUAGAUACCCUGGUAGUCCACACCGUAAACGAUGAUUACUAGGUGUUGGAGGAUUGACCCCUUCAGUGCCGCAGUUAACACAAUAAGUAAUCCACCUGGGGAGUACGACCGCAAGGUUGAAACUCAAAGGAAUUGACGGGGGCCCGCACAAGCAGUGGAGCAUGUGGUUUAAUUCGAAGCAACGCGAAGAACCUUACCAAAUCUUGACAUCCCUCUGACCGGUCUUUAAUCGGACCUUCUCUUCGGAGCAGAGGUGACAGGUGGUGCAUGGUUGUCGUCAGCUCGUGUCGUGAGAUGUUGGGUUAAGUCCCGCAACGAGCGCAACCCCUAUCCUCAGUAGCCAGCAUUUAAGGUGGGCACUCUGGGGAGACUGCCAGGGAUAACCUGGAGGAAGGCGGGGAUGACGUCAAAUCAUCAUGCCCCUUAUGAUUUGGGCUACACACGUGCUACAAUGGCGUAAACAAAGGGAAGCGAGAUUGUGAGAUGGAGCAAAUCCCAAAAAUAACGUCCCAGUUCGGACUGUAGUCUGCAACCCGACUACACGAAGCUGGAAUCGCUAGUAAUCGCGGAUCAGAAUGCCGCGGUGAAUACGUUCCCGGGUCUUGCACUAACCGCCCGUCA